rnacentral:rRNA from 1 species
CAAACUGGAGAUGGCGACCGGCGCACGGGUGAGUAACACGUAUCCAACCUGCCGAUAACUCGGGGAUAGCCUUUCGAAAGAAAGAUUAAUACCCGAUGGCAUAAUAGAACCGCAUGGUUUGAUUAUUAAAGAAUUUCGGUUAUCGAUGGGGAUGCGUUCCAUUAGGCAGUUGGUGGGGGUAACGGCCCACCAAGCCUUCGAUGGAUAGGGGUUCUGAGAGGAAGGUCCCCCACAUUGGAACUGAGACACGGCCCAAACUCCUACGGGAGGCAGCAUG